AGAUAUUACCUUGCAUCAUCUGCGGACAUGAAAUUAUUUUACAGAUGAAGAAACAAAUGGGGCAUGAACAAAGCAUCAUCAACAAGAAAUAAUGUUGAAUAUUAGCCUCCAGGUACUAAAGACACUGGAAUUCCUAAAUGUAAUUGGAUACUCCCAAGAAAAAUCAAAUUUUAUAUUUCUCACUCAAGGAAAGGUGAGGCAUUCCUGCUGCUGUAAACAAUACAAAAUGAGAGUGAAAGUGAUUACUCAGGAGAUGCAGAAAACAGUUGAGCCUGAAUGAUUCAAUGAAAAUACUGAGUCAAAUUUUGAACAAAUUCCUUGUGGCCAUAGAGAAAUUUACUUUGAUGAAGGUAUGAGUUUAAUUUCAUUUAGUGAGUCUUAGUUUUUAGCAAGUGAUGGAUUGUAUACAUGAUUAAUGUAAUGCCAAAUAUAUAUUUAUGGUUCCAUUUUAGUAUCCUUCUGUUCACAGGGAAUAUAAUCCAAUUUUGUGGGCCUUCCCUUUAGGCUACCCUAAAGACAUAAUAAGCCUAAUUUCCCAAAAAAACAAAGAAAAA
rnacentral:misc_RNA from 1 species